CCUAUGGGGUGCAGCAGUCGCGAAACCUUUGCAAUACACGCAAGUGUGACAGGGCUAUCCCGAGUGCCAUCCGCUGAGGAAGGCUUUUACCCAGUAUAGAAAGCUGGGGGAAUAAGGAGAGGGCAAGUCUGGUGUCAGCCGCCGCGGUAAUACCAGCUCUCCGAGUGGUGUGGAUGUUUAUUGGGCCUAAAGCAUCCGUAGCUGGCUAAGUUAGUCCUUUGUUAAAUCCACCGAAUUAAUCGUUGGGUUGCGAGGGAUACUGCUUGGCUAGGGGACGAGAGAGGCAGACGGUAUUUUCGGGGUAGGGGUGAAAUCCUAUAAUCCCGGGAAGACCACCAGUGGCGAAGGCUGUCUGCUAGAACGCGCCCGACGGUGAGGGAUGAAAGCUGGGGUAGCGAACCGGAUUAGAUACCCAGGUAGUCC
rnacentral:rRNA from 1 species